rnacentral:lncRNA from 1 species
CUUUGGACAAGUUCUGAGUACCCAACCCUGGGUACUGGCAGCCUCCACUUUGGGGCCAGGAGGGAAGAAAUGAGCAAGGGUGCAGCCCAGGCUGCCUCUGAGGUGAGGUGACCACGUCUGUGGACAUGAAAACCCAAGAAGUGUUUGUUACACUGGGAGACGUGGAUUCAGUCAUGCAAAAUCCUCAGAAGACACAUCAAGAAGGGGUGUUGUUAUAUCGAGGCUUAGCCUGAGCCAGUGGCAAGGCCGGCUUCCCGCUUCACCUGCCCUGGAAGCCGGUGGAGUCUGGUUAAUUUUUCAAUGUUCAUUUCCAGCGAUCACAGGGCCCAAAUGGAAACCAGAGAGCUCCGAAUAGGCCACAGCGGUCAGUUACCCAGGACUGCAGAGACACCCUUCACUCCUGCAGGCGUUUGAUCUGACUCCACCAGAAGGUCCAGUCGCCAACGCCUAGCUGAGGUCCCAGGCCAGGCCUUACCCCCAACCCCUACCCUCUCAGCCUCCAAUUGAAAGAAGGCCUGCCGGCUCCAACUCAAUUAGCACAAAGGCGGCGGCGGGCACCCUGGUCUGUGCCGCAGGGCAGGGAGCAUCCUGGCGGGCAGGUAGAGAGAAGUCCGCUAGCCCCCGGUGUUAUCAGCAAGCGGCUUAAUCUGGAAUUUGAGCUGACAACGUGCGCACCGCCACCCGGGCUCCGCCAGCCGGUUGACGGUGGGGGUGAGACCCGAGAGGCUGGACUCCCAGGCUUCAAAGCUGCCCGAGGUGCGGCGGCCUUGGGGAAGGGGGCGCCCGGCGACAAUCGGCAACCUCGAGCGCCGCCUGGACAGAAGCCGGCGGGCCAGUGGGCGCUGGACCAUCUUCCCUGCGAAGCUCUGCUGCACUGACACUGAGCAGCCUCCAGAGGAAUCCAAGCUUGCAGAGAGAAACGCAGAGCGAGGAGUCGAAAGGGAA